rnacentral:RNase_P_RNA from 1 species
GUAGUCUGCUAGGUAAUCGCUUAAGUUAUACUUAAGAGGAAAGUCCGGGCAGCGAAGGAUACGACAGUCGUUAACGGCGACCGGAGGCAACUCUAGGGAAAGUGCCACAGAAACGAAACUACCUUCGUAUUUUAUAUACGAGGGAAAAGGUGAAACGAGUGGGGUAAGAGCCCACAGUCGUNNNNNNNNNNCUAUGGCGACAUAGACGAGAGGUAAACCCUGUCGGCUGCAAGGAGAUUUGCAAAUAGGAUUAUCCGUCCGCAGAUCGAUAACCGCUUGAUUUGUUUGGCAACAAGCAAACUAGAUAGAUGAUUGCCCUAGACAGAACCCGGCUUAUAGGCAGACUAUGAAU